rnacentral:lncRNA from 1 species
GAAUAAAAUAUUAAAGUUGAAUUCUUACCCAUCUUGUCUUUAGUGUCCUAGAUUGAAGAUAUCCUACAUUGUCCUAGCUGCAUCUCAUAUCUUCCAUAAAAUUUGCGUUUUGCUUCACGAAUCAUGAUGUCAAUAUCAGUGUCGUCUGUCUGAACGCUCGUUUCCGGGUGAACCGUACGGGCUAAUAUUAAACCAAAGGCGAAGCAUUAAAAAUUCCAUUUAAACGGCAUUAAAUGAUUGAAAUCCAUGCGUAGAUUUAUAAGUAAUAAAAACAAGUAAACAUGAUUAAUAAUUGUAUGUAACCGAUUGGACCUUAAAAAAAAUAUAUGAAUGUGGAUUCCGUAAUUUCCUCUGAGUCUCCAUGCCAGUGUAAUGGUAUUUCCCGCGGUUAUUUUUGUACAACUUAUAAAUAAAAUACGGUAUGACUAUCACUUGCCACUAUGUACCUAACAGAAUGAACAAUUUUGCAAAGACUCACUCAGUGUAAGUAUAUCGAUACGGUGAAUUAAUUAACAUGAAAAAACUCUGUAAUUUCUAAAUAAUUUUACUGGACACAAAACACACGGGCACCUGGUAAUUCGUCACCUUAUUAUUAAAGUCAAAUCGGCACCUUUUUUCACGACAUUUCUGCAAUUGAUUUUUUAACUGUCACCUAGCUGAUAUUAAAAACGGUUUUCAUCUUUAAUUUGAAAGUAAUUAUUGGUUCUCUUCUCUACUGCAGUAUAUACAGGAGGGGGAGGACAGGGGUAAGGGAGACCGGAGAAAGGGGGUAGGAGAAAAGGGGAAGGAGAAAGGGGUAGGAGAAAGGAGAGGAAGGCUGGGAGAAAGGAGAAAAAGUUGGAGAAAGGAGAAAAAAUAAAAUAUCUCCUUUUAAAUUUUUUUCUAAUAUUUUAAGAAAAAAAUAUCUCAAAAGGAGAUGUUUUAUUCUAAUGGGAGAAAGGAGAAUGGGGGUAGGAGAAAGGAGAAGAGGGUGGGAGAAGGGAGAAGGGUACCCCCUGUCCUCCCCAUCAUACAGAUGAGGAUAAAAAGAGGAGAAAACAAUUAAAUUUUAUCAUUGAUUUUUUUUUUGAUAAUCUGCCUUUCCUGAUUUUCCAGAUUUUUCAGUGGCAGAUCCAUAACUUUUUCUAGGGGGGGGGGGCGCUGACUGACCUAACGGAGGGCCUGCUCCAGUCAUGCUCCAAUGAUUCCCUAUACUGGAUCCGCCUAUGCUUUUACCUGUAUACUUGAAAACAAUAAAUACUAUUGUUUGCUAGUAUUGUGCAGUUGUCAUGAAAUAAAAGUUCAUUAUAAUAAAUAUAGGUUCCAGUAGGAACAGAUCUAUUGUGGCUCCAUUGAUUGUUUAUACAGAGAGCACACAAGAUCAUGUAAAUUUGGUUAAAUGUCCAAUGGUAGAUGGAAAAACAGCACUGUAUAUAAAAUAGAGCACCUAGAUUUCUACUGUGAAAAUAUUCCUUUUUCUUAAGAUCCAAUUAUAUUAGAUAGUUUAUUAAAACAUGCAUAAUAUUCCUUGUGAAAAUUGUGUUUAAAAUAAAUAUUAAAUGAAUGGAGAUCAAUUGAUAUUGCCUAUGAGAUUACUAUCUACUAAUGUUCUUAUGAACUGGAUUUAAGCAUCUAUAUAGGACACCUUAAUACCUUUAACAAUGAACAAAGCUCAUACUGUCAGCUACAAAAAAUGUAUAACAGGCCAUCAAGGCUUGACAUGACAAAAUGUAAAAUGAUUUGCCAAAAUAAAUCAAAUAUGGCAGACUGCAUCAAACAACAACUAAAUUUCAUCCGGACUUGGAACAGGCAUAAAUAGAAUGUUGGGACUGUUGUGUAAACAGCACAAAAGAGGAACAAAGUGGUGAAAUCGGUUAGAAAUUGUUUUGAUUCAUUGAAUUGGUACAAAGCUAAAAAAUCUCAACAUGAAGACAAACAAUCAAAACUUAAUAGUACUUUCAGUUAUUGAAAGCUCAUUAAAAGCUAAUAAAAACUCAAACAUUAUAUAUAAACCAUGUUUUCCCGUACACAUAUAUAUAUAUGUAUAGAUGUAAUUAUCAGAGAAAUUCGUUUUACAAUUUUUGUUUAACAUGUUUAAUUAUCUAUAACUGAUAUAUUUUUUAUUAAAGUUUCCAAGCAAGUCAAUACAUGCAAUAACAAAAAACUUUUGGGACAGAAGACACUGUUUAAAAAACGUGACCAAAGAAAAGAAAAGGAAAUGUACUUGUAAUCGACACUGGAGAAAAAAUGGACUCUUCAGGUAAGAAGUUUUAUUCUGGUAAGAAGUUUUAUCUGCAAUAACUUUUGUUUAAUAGUUAAUCUGUUUUUGAAUAAAAGAAUGUGUAAAGUAUAUUUUAGUGGGACAGCAUCCCAACAAACAAUAAAUCUGAAGAGAUAUCAAGUGGUAAAUAUUUUGCUUACUGAAUCCGACAAAGUUAAUACCAAAUGUGCCAUGCUAUAAAUUAUCCUUCAUCUGAAGAAGGUAUGAAUAUAUGCAACAGGAAUUUUACAGAAAAAAUCUGUCCUUUAUUAUGUCUAUAUGCUAGCCGCAAAUUUUUCACUGCAUUUGCAUAUCUAGUUAGGUUAGUACUUUUUCAUCUUUUUAAAAUUUUGUCUUGCAAAACAACACAUUGCAGGGAUAAAGUAAAUGCAACAAGUUUUCAUUUUAUCCAGUUUUUUUCAUGUUUGCACAUUCUCUUUCCCAUACAAUGUUUUGGUGAAGUUAAAUAAUAGUAGUUUGUACACAUGUUGCCACUUGGAAAUAUAAAUGAUAUGGAAAAUAGCAUUGUGAGCUCUCUCAAGCCUAUGUGAGUUGUAGGAUUUUAGAAAUUUUCAUCAUUUGUUCAUAAGUAGGAGGCCACUGACUGCCUAAGAGGGCGCCCGCUCCGGUCAUGCUUCAGUGAUUCCCUAUAUAAUCAACCAAAUUUUUACCUGGCCCCACUCUAAAUCCACCUUUGCUAAGACCAGUUAAAUAAUCAGCUUUGGUCAAUUAUGCAUUGAAAUUCUGUUAAAAAGGAAGGUGUUUGACUUUUUCUAGUUUAAAAAUUAAGUGCUAAGAAACUAUUUUUUACAGGAAUUAAUAGUUCCCCUUUAAAAUGGAAAGUAUAAUGAAAAUUGCAUUGUCAAUCUCAAUCCUAUUGUUCAACUUCAUGUUUGUUUUUAUAUUUUUUUUUAUCAAAUUCAAAGGUUAGUUUGGCAAGCCAAAGUCAUGGAUGAGUUCAAUAAAUGUUGCAGAUUAGCUUUUUUUGCAGGAGUUAAGCUGCUUUAGAAAACUGCAUUUGUUACUUAUUUCAAGUAUAAUAACUUGUUGAUUUUGCGCAUUUUUUUUCAUAAGAAUGUUCAGUAUAUAUUUGCCUUUCGUGAACUUUUAACUUUCAGUUACAUUCAGUUCUUGUGAAAUUCAACAUCUCUUAUAUAAACAUCACAAAUGUCUUUUUACUUAAUCACCUUUUUUAUGUUUACAGAAGAAAUUGUCACACGGAAAUGUCUUGGGCAAAUUAAAAAGGAGAAGUAACUCUGCUAGGAAGCAGUUCCAGUCAUUUGUAGCAACAGGACUGUGACGAAUAGAACUUUAAUAUAAACUGAAUCAAAAUAUAGAAUUUACCAAACUUGUGUCAGAUAAUACUCUCAUGCUUCUAUUGGAGGACAUCAAUGAUGAGAAGUAAAGGAAAAGACAAUAAAUGACAGCAUAUCAAAUAUCACAAUGUAUAUUUAGUCAGUUAACACAUUAAUUCAUCUACAUACUUUACAGCAUUUCAUUUUAACCAUGUGUAAAUUUUGUCUAUUCAAGCUUAACAAAAUGCUUUGAAAUUAAAAUAUUAAAUAUUUUAGGCAGACAUGUUUUUGUAAUUUUCAUUUAUUUUUCAAACUUUCAAGUUAUUACAUUCUUCAGUGGCGGAUCCAGCCAAAAGCCCAUUUUUCAAAGGGGUUUCCCAACCAAGGAUAAAGGAGGGGUUCCAAUCAUGUCUUUCAUUUAUAAAUUGUUAAUUUCCACUACAAAACUAAAAAAAAUAAGCCAAAGAUAAAAAAUCAGUCAUAAAAAAAAUAUAAUUUUGAAAUUCAUGUAAAACGCAUGUAAAACAUGUAUUUUACAUGAGUUUGUAUUUACACAUGUUUUACACAUGUGAAAUAUUUCAUGCGUUUUGUAACGCAUAUUUAAUAUAUGUUUUUGCACGCCUGUUAUACGCAUGUUGUAAAAAACAUGCGUUAAACGCACAAAAAACAUACGUUUUACACACGUUUUCUUUACCAUGCGUGAAACAUGCGUGGCACUUUUUGCUGUGUAUAGUUAAUUUUUGUGUAAUUUGGUGUCUUGUUGAGAGUUGUCUCAUUGGCAAUCAUACCACAUCUUUUUUACAUCAACAUGUAAUCACAUUCAGUGUAAUGUUAUGUAUUUUGAGUAUAAUUACCUCGUCUUUUGUAUGUUACAGCUUCAGACCCAGUUGUGAUGCGCCUUUCUGUGAGAUUUAUCAGUUCAAAGUCCACUAGCACUGCUCCAUCUACAUGAAUACUGGUCACAUCAAUAUAAAUGUCAAUAAUUCACUUGCUGGUUCCAAGGCUGGUGUCAAUAUUUACUUGUCGGUCGAAUUCCAAAGCUGUUCGAUCCUGAAUUUAGUCUAUUCACUAAAAGUCAGUCAGUUCCAUCAUUUGAAUAUUUCAUUGUCCACUAUUCUGACUGGUCACAUAUAACAUCAUACAAUAAGUCCAUUAAGUCAAUACAUUUAAAACUGGUUAUUAUUAGAAUAUUUCAUUAUCACUAUAGUUGUUACCUAUUUGAUUCCACACAUCUUCUAUGCUAGUGCCUUUACUGGUAUAUCUUUUUUUUAAAUUGGCAAAAAAAUCAAAAGUGGUUAUUUACUGGGGGGUUUUCAGAAAAUUUUGAAUUUGAGAUUUAUAGCAAGCUUUUUCUACUUGCUAAUUUAUAAAAGUUUAUUUAUAAAAUAAUUUUAUUAAAAGAAAGGGCAACUUUAAUCAUAAAUUGCUGAAAAUUUUAACUAUCAGCUAAAUACAUAAAUUGUUAUUUGGAUGGAGAGUUGUCUCAUUGGCACUCACACCACAUCUUCCUACAUCUAUAAAGUAUACAUAAAAUUCACAUGGAAGAAAGAUAACUCUUGCAGCCUUGUGGUUCAAUCUCUGGUGAAUAGUUCUCAAUGGCAUUCUUACCAAAUCUCAUUGGCAUUCUAACCACAUCUCAUUGGCAUUCUUACCACAUCUCAUUGGCAUUCUUACCAAAUUGUAUUGGCAUAAAUACCACAACCCAUUUACAUUCUGAGUGCAUCACAUUAGCACUAUUACCACAUCUCAUUAGCUUUAUUACCACAUCUCAUGUGCAUUCUUUAAGACAUCUCAUUAGCUUUAUUACCACAUCUCAUUUGCAUUCUUAGUGCAUCUCAAUAGCUUUACUACCACAUCUCAUGUGCAUUCUCAGCGCAUCUCAUUAGCUUUAUUACCACAACUCAUUUGCAUUCUUAGUGUAUCUCAUUAACUUUAUUGGCACAUCCAUAAGCUUUAAUACCACAUCUCAUUGGCUUUCUAAGCACAUCUCAUUAGCUUUAUACCACAUCUUAUUUGCAUUCUUAGUGCAUCUCAUUAGUUGUAUUAACACAUCUCAUUGGCAUUUUUAGCACAUCUCAUUUGCAUUCUUAGUGUAUCUCAUUAACUUUAUUGGCACAUCCAUAAGCUUUAUUACCACAUCUCAUUGGCUUUCUAAGCACAUCUCAUUAGCUUUAUUACCACAUCUCAUUUGCAUUCUAAGUGCAUCUCAUUAGCUUUACUACCACAUCUCAUGUGCAUUCUCAGCAAUCUCAUUAGCUUUAUUACCACAACUCAUUUGCAUUCUUAGUGUAUCUCAUUAACUUUAUUGGCACAUCCAUAAGCUUUAUUACCACAUCUCAUUGGCUUUCUAAGCACAUCUCAUUAGCUUUAUACCACAUCUUAUUUGCAUUCUUAGUGCAUCUCAUUAGUUGUAUUAACACAUCUAUUGGCAUUUCUAGCACAUCUCAUUGGCAUUUUUAGCACAUCUCAUUGGCAUUCUUAGCACAUCUCAUUAGCUUUAUUACCACAUCUCAUUGGCAUAUUGACCACAUCUCAUCUUUACAUUCUUCAUUGAUC